rnacentral:rRNA from 1 species
GACGAACCGUGCGAACGUUAUCCGGAUUCACUGGGUUUAAAGGGUGCGUAGGUGGGUUGGUAAGUCAGUGGUGAAAUCUCCGAGCUUAACUUGGAAACUGCCAUUGAUACUAUCAGUCUUGAAUAUUGUGGAGGUCAGCGGAAUAUGUCAUGUAGCGGUGAAAUGCUUAGAUAUGACAUAGAACACCAAUUGCGAAGGCAGCUGGCUACGCAUAUAUUGACACUGAGGCACGAAAGCGUGGGGAUCAAACAGG